rnacentral:rRNA from 1 species
UGCAGAAUCCCGUGAACCAUCGAGUCUUUGAACGCAAGUUGCGCCCGAAGCCAUUAGGUUGAGGGCACGUCUGCCUGGGCGUCA